rnacentral:rRNA from 1 species
AGUGAACGCUGGCGGUAGGCCUAACACAUGCAAGUCGAACGGCAGCACAGUAAGAGCUUGCUCUUACGGGUGGCGAGUGGCGGACGAGUGAGGAAUACAUCGGAAUCUACUUUUUCGUGGGGAUAACGUAGGGAAACUUACGCUAAUACCGCAUACGACCUACGGGUGAAAGCAGGGGAUCUUCGGACCUUGCGCGAUUGAAUGAGCCGAUGUCGGAUUAGCUAGUUGGCGGGGUAAAGGCCCACCAAGGCGACGAUCCGUAGCUGGUCUGAGAGGAUGAUCAGCCACACUGGAACUGAGACACGGUCCAGACUCCUACGGGAGGCAGCAGUGGGGAAUAUUGGACAAUGGGCGCAAGCCUGAUCCAGCCAUACCGCGUGGGUGAAGAAGGCCUUCGGGUUGUAAAGCCCUUUUGUUGGGAAAGAAAAGCAGCAGGUUAAUACCCCGCUGUUCUGACGGUACCCAAAGAAUAAGCACCGGCUAACUUCGUG